GAUGAACGCUGGCGGCGUGCCUAAUACAUGCAAGUCGAGCGAACGGACGAGAAGCUUGCUUCUCUGAUGUUAGCGGCGGACGGGUGAGUAACACGUGGAUAACCUACCUAUAAGACUGGGAUAACUUCGGGAAACCGGAGCUAAUACCGGAUAAUAUUUUGAACCGCAUGGUUCAAAAGUGAAAGACGGUCUUGCUGUCACUUAUAGAUGGAUCCGCGCUGCAUUAGCUAGUUGGUAAGGUAACGGCUUACCAAGGCAACGAUGCAUAGCCGACCUGAGAGGGUGAUCGGCCACACUGGAACUGAGACACGGUCCAGACUCCUACGGGAGGCAACAGUAGGGAAUCUUCCGCAAUGGGCGAAAGCCUGACGGAGCAACGCCGCGUGAGUGAUGAAGGUCUUCGGACCGUAAAACUCUGUUAUUAGGGAAGAACAUAUGUGUAAGUAACUGUGCACAUCUUGACGGUACCUAAUCAGAAAGCCACGGCUAACUACGUG
rnacentral:rRNA from 1 species